UACAGAGGUCUCAACCGUUGUUCGGAUUCAUUGGGCGUAAAGGGCGUGCAGGCGGUUUGUUUAGUCCAGGGUGAAAGCUCCCGGCUCAACUGGGAGAGGUCCUUGGAUACUGGCAGACUUGAGGGAGGCAGAGGAAAGUGGAAUUCCCGGUGUAGUGGUGAUAUGCGUAGAUAUCGGGAGGAACACCAGUGGCGAAGGCGGCUUUCUGGGCCUUACCUGACGCUGAGAUGCGAAAGCGUGGGGAGCGAACCGG
rnacentral:rRNA from 1 species